AAAACUUCAAUCGGCAGGAAAGAAGGAGAAGGUGAUUUCCACCCCAUUUGUUGAUAACAAUCGAUCAUACGAAGACGCUAAACACGAAAUAGGUAAGUUACGGCUAAAAUCCAAUGGUUGAAUACCUUUUUUCAGAGCAUGCAAGGGCGAUGGAGUAAUAUGAUUUUUGAUUUUUUUUUUUGGUUUUUCUUCGAAUUUUUUUAAGAUGAAGCAUGAAUGUAGCCCCCUAAGUUGUUUUCUUGUUGUUUGUGUUAUUUGUGCAGCAUGUCGGAUACUUUGGUUAUAUUUAUUUUCAAUUGGUGGGGUUUAUGGGAGCGAAGGGAAGAAAAUGGUGGAUUGUUUUAUAAUGGUUUUAAUCAUGAAGAAGUAAAAGACACAAUGAAAAACAUGACUUUAGAACGAAUAAUAGCUAAAUUUGAGGAAUAUUAUGGUUCAAAACCUAAAUUAGUCUAUGCGUUGGAUUCUGACUACACCAUAGAGAAGGGCCUAGUUCCCC
rnacentral:lncRNA from 1 species